UCCCCGAUCGUCUAAUUGGCAGGACUGCGGCCUUUGGUGCCGUCUAUAGGGGUUCGAGUCCCUUUCGGGGAG
rnacentral:tRNA from 1 species